rnacentral:rRNA from 1 species
GUAAUAGCUCACUGGUCGAGUCGGCCUGCGCGGAAGAUGUAACGGGGCUAAACCAUGCACCGAAGCUGCGGCAGCGAACGUAUCACCCAAGACAACUUUACGGAGUUGACGAUUGACGGAGCGAAGCGACGUCAAAGCGUUCAUUAAAGUCGAGUUGGCUUAGGGAUACGUUCGUUGGGUAGGGGAGCGUUCUGUAAGCCUGUGAAGGUGUGUCGUGAGGCAUGCUGGAGGUAUCAGAAGUGCGAAUGCUGACAUAAGUAACGAUAAAGCGGGUGAAAAGCCCGCUCG